rnacentral:misc_RNA from 1 species
GAUGAAGAACGCAGCGAAAUGCGAUACGUAAUGUGAAUUGCAGAAUUCAGUGAAUCAUCGAGUCUUUGAACGCACAUUGCGCCCCCUGGUAUUCCGGGGGGCAUGCCUGUCCGAGCGUCAUUGCUGCCCUCAAGCACGGCUUGUGUGUUGGGCCUCCGUCCUCCUCCCGGGGGACGGGCCCGAAAGGCAGCGGCGGCACCGCGUCCGGUCCUCGAGCGUAUGGGGCUUCGUCACCCGCUCUGUAGGCCCGGCCGGCGCUUGCCGAUCAACCCAAAUUUGUAUCCAGGUUGACCUCGGAUCAGGUAGGGAUACCCGCUGAACUUAAGCAUAUCAAUAAGCGGAGGA